rnacentral:rRNA from 1 species
GAUGGGCGUCGACCGGCGCACGGGUGAGUAACGCGUAUCCCACCUGCCCACCACUUGGGGAUAACCUUGCGAAAGUAAGACUAAUACCCAAUGACGUCUCUAGAAGACAUCUGAAGGAGAUUAAAGAUUUAUCGGUGAUGGAUGGGGAUGCGUCUGAUUAGCUUGUUGGCGGGGUAACGGCCCACCAAGGCGACGAUCAGUAGGGGUUCUGAGAGGAAGGUCCCCCACAUUGGAACUGAGACACGGUCCAAACUCCUACGGGAGGCAGCAGUGAGGAAUAUUGGUCAAUGGGCGAGAGCCUGAACCAGCCAAGUAGCGUGCAGGAAGACGGCCCUAUGGGUUGUAAACUGCUUUUAUAAGGGAAUAAAGUGAGUCUCGUGAGACUUUUUGCAUGUACCUUAUGAAUAAGGACCGGCUAAUUCCGUGCCAGCAGCCGCGGUAAUACGGAAGGUCCGGGCGUUAUCCGGAUUUAUUGGGUUUAAAGGGAGCGUAGGCCGGAGAUUAAGCGUGUUGUGAAAUGUAGACGCUCAACGUCUGCACUGCAGCGCGAACUGGUUUCCUUGAGUACGCACAAAGUGGGCGGAAUUCGUGGUGUAGCGGUGAAAUGCUUAGAUAUCACGAAGAACUCCGAUUGCGAAGGCAGCUCACUGGAGCGCAACUGACGCUGAAGCUCGAAAGUGCGGGUAUCGAGCAGGAUUAGAUACCCUGGUAGUCCGCACGGUAAACGAUGGAUGCCCGCUGUUGGUCCUGAACAGGUCAGCGGCCAAGCGAAAGCAUUAAGCAUCCCACCUGGGGAGUA